GUUGUAUCAGCAGAAGGCCUGAAAUGGCAUCGGUUUUAGUAGAUACCAGUGGCAUGAGCAGAUGAAGAGAUGAUGUUCGCUGCGCAUGCUUAACUCAUCAAUACUCCUGUCUUAUAACGCCGCUCCCAAAACUUUCACCGAGAGAUACCAGAAGACCAGUGUCCAUACAACUAGAACACAUGUCUCUUGGCAUGACGAUCUCACGUCUUUGUCACCAAAUAACAACAGUGUCUACAGGGAUUGGUGGGAUGGGUGACAAACAGUUGGUGCCAUGUAUUUUUGUACAAGAGGUCAUCUCGGGAUUAUCACAGAUAACGCAACCUGGUGCCUUCAUUGCUAAAGGUGGAUAUAUUAUAUCAACAUCAACCAGAACGUAAUCUGAAAGCAACACGGGUGUGAAUAAAGUUUAUCUGCCGCAA